rnacentral:sRNA from 1 species
GAAGCUAGACACGCUUUCCCGGGGAGGCACGCCCCUACGCAGAGAUAGACACGCCCCCAAGCACAAUGGCACGCCCCCUAUAGAGCGAGACACACCCCCGAGUCAAACUGCACUUGACUGUUAGGACGCUAGGAGCUCCCAUGCCUCGAAGUUGUAGUGGGCUCCAGCAGUUAGCUACUAUCUUUUGUUAGGGCUGAGGCAACACCGGUUAGGACUUGGGCAGCUUCACCACAGAACAGACUUUCUCAAGUUGACAUAUUUUAUUCUCAUGAAGUCCACCUUUUUUCAUUCACAUGGAAAAAGAGUGAUUAUGAAGUCAUGCUGUAAACUGUAACCUUUCUCAUUUACUUGGAUAUAAGAGUGUUCAACUCACUUAGCAAAGACGGUGCUACCUGAAUUGGAGGCUGGUGUCUUCUGACUCCUUCAACUCCCUUUGAGGUAGGUCCAUUGGUAACACCUCGUCUUGGCAGCUUGCACAGCAUCUUCUGAUGCUAGGAGAGCUUGUCUUCAGGGAAGAAGUUUCCAGGUCAGCUUGGUUCUUCCAAGGCCUGUGUCUGAAGCAAGAGGGUCUUAGCCUUCAACAAUAGGGUCUUACCUUCAAGUUCUGUGAGGAUGUGGGAGUGAUGGUUGCAGCACAUCCUGCUUACUGAUGAUGAGAGCUACACACAGGAGGAAGUGGAACGGCGCCUUGGAAACAGUCACUACUGUGGUCAGUGCCUCCUGAGGACUGCACUAAACCACAGAAGAGGGUAAUAGAAGCUGCAUGCUGUUUAAAGUUCUGUUUGUGCCUCUGAAACUAGUCAUGACCACUGUGAGGUUUUUAUUUGGUUAGCUGUCUUUAGAGUAGCACGUAUAACCCCUUGAUAAAAUGUUUAAAGAAAACAGCAGUCUCUCUCACCACUGUCAGUCCUCUCUUUUCUGCUACUGAAAAAAAUCAAUGUGAGCCGAUGAACGGACGCCAAUACAGUUUAAAUAUGUGACCUAUA